CAGUCGCCGCGGGAAAACGUAGGUGGCAAGCGUUGUCCGGAAUUAUUGGGCGUAAAGGGCUCGCAGGCGGUUUCUUAAGUCUGAUGUGAAAGCCCCCGGCUCAACCGGGGAGGGUCAUUGGAAGCUGGGAAACUUGAGUGCAGAAGAGGAGAGUGGAAUUCCACGUGUAGCGGUGAAAUGCGUAGAGAUGUGGAGGAACACCAGUGGCGAAGGCGACUCUCUGGUCUGUAACUGACGCUGAGGAGCGAAAGCGUGGGGAGCGAACAGGAUUAGAUACCCCGGUAGUCCCUGUCUCUUAUAC
rnacentral:rRNA from 1 species